CGACUGCUCCAGUUAAAAUCACUUCCUUGGAAAGGGAUUUUUUAAAACAAUUUUUAUUUCGAUUGAUAUGGAUUUCAGCUUCAAGAUACAACUGUUCGGUAUUACAUGCUUGUAAGAAUAUAUACUGAAUUAAUGCUGAUGAGUUUACAUGCUAUCUGUGAAACUAAAGAACAUUAUGUACCUCGUAAGCAUAAUUCGAUAUUUCCUUAUGCUUAGCUGCGAAAUAGAAUAUCAUGAAUUUGUGAAGUUGGCUCAAUAGGAUAUCAUAACUAUAGUUGAAAUAAACAAGACCAUAAAAUUCAAUCAAAUGAGCAUUGUCAAGGUGAAAGCUACUAAGCCUUCGGAAGAAACACGAGGAUAAGAUUAAAAUACUCCUAAAGAAUAUCAUCGAGAAUUGCAUUUCAGGAGAGGCAGGAAAAAAAACUAGGCAAUUGAAAAAAAUACACAGCAAGCUGUGGCAAUACACCAGAAAAUUACAAGGAAAAUGAAUGCGAAAGAACAUGGUUCAACAGCAAAUGUGAGGAACUCGAGAAGAAUCACGAGACCUUCGACUUGAAUAGCACAAUGAAUAACGCAGCAGGGUGACGAAAACAACAGCACCAUGCAAUAAUCAUAGAAGAUUAAGUUACGUAAAUUUUCAACUUAUUUCGAUGAGUCUACCAAAGGCUUAACAAGAGAUCCAAGCUUUGUACAACAAGCAAUCAAACUUUUUUUAAAUGUUUUUUCUGAGGAUUUUUUAAUAUCUUUUGGUAAGGCAUUAACCAGUUUUGGACCAGCGUAACUUAUGAUAUUUCUAACUUAGUUUUUGUAUAUUUUAGGAAAUGACUCCCAUGACUUCCCUCCCUGGAUCCGUUCUUGGAUGGAGACUUUCUUGAGGAUAAACCAGUGAAAGUUGAUAAAACACAUAUUGAAGACAAAAAGUCAGAAAAACUGACAAAAAGUCAGAAAAACUGACAAUGAGGCAGAAAUAGACUUACUUCGGACCCCAAAAUAUGUAACAAAUCACAGAAAAGAACGAAAGUUAGAUAGGUACAAAGUAAAUAGCAAGCUGGAGAAAAUGGACGACAUUCCAUAAAUAUUUCAGUGCGGAACACACCAUUCCUAUAUUAUUAUUUCAAUUGUGUUUUGCGCAUCAUUUCUAAAAAUAAUUUAAACAUGAUUGAUUUAUUAUCGCCUAUGUACUUACUUAGUAUUUUCAUUGCAACACGAUAGAUCUCUUGAGUACUAUGGAUGACUUUCAUAAUUUAUAAUAAGAUAACUUAGUAUUACUGAAAUAAUUGGGCGAAUAUUGACAUUUAUCUUUUAUGCUCCAUUAACUUAAAAUUAACAUUGCUGUUUUGUUAUCGAAAUUUUUAAAAAAUUGCAAUAUAUUUAGCAAAUCUUUCACAAUUUUAUAUUGAAUUUUACAAGUGUCACAAUAUUUCCGUAAAAAUUAAGAAUAGCACUCACUACUAAGACUAUAAAUUGUGGCUAAGUGAUGCUUGUAUUGGUUCCCGAUUUCUCAACAGACAAACUGAAAUUCAGAACAAAUUAAUUUAUUAGUCAAACAAACUGAAUACUGCAAUAACAUAAUGGUGGUACAACAUGCAACUCAGGAGAGGUGGAGAUAUCAAAGAAAAAUACAUUGAACCACUCUGUUAUAACACUUCAAGAGACAGUUGUAUUUCAAUGAUACAAUAUUAUUUUUUAUAAACUGCUUGCUGGGUAUUUCGCCUCAAAAAUUUUUGUCUUUAAAAAAGAUAGCAUUUCCUCACGUCUUUUAUUGAGUAGUAGAAGGAUAACGUCUUUAUAAAAUGAAUCCACCUCAGCAAUAUAGAACUUAGAUACAAUAUUAGGUAUUAUAUAUUUUUUUUGCUGUUUGCAGGGAUUGUAAGCAAUCCUUGCCUGUUAUUUUUUCAUUUUUUCCUCUUAUUGCUAUUUUAUUUGAAAUUCCAUUCUAUUCAAACAUCCUAUUUGAACAAACAAACUACUUACUCAUAUUUGUAAUGUGUACGAACAAUUGUAUUUAAUUUAAUAAAUAGUAAAGUAGAGUAGAGUGAUUAAAUAAAGUAAAAAAAGUUAUUCGGCAACGAGCUACUAUUAAUAAGUGUAUUUUAAUCUGAACGGAGCGGUGGUCAUUCUGUUAUCUACAACCAUGAAUUGAAUAUUACAAUUUACUAAUUGUUUGAGUGUUCCCGAUCUUCAACAACAAAAACAGCUAUAUUAGAAAAUGUGCUUCGUCAUUUAUCAAGCAAAACAAAAGGUACUUCAAGUAUGCUGUUUGUUUUUCAGAUAAAUACUAAUCAGGCGUAAGUUUGAUCAUGUGUUGGAACGUUUCCAUUCAUGACUUUCCUGCCUGAGAAUAAAUGCAUUCACAUUUCCUCAAUUAUUGCUGCCUUCCUAUGAGCAGAUAUAUCAUCAGUGGUGUUCUUAUUGUAUUCGUAUUAACAGUCUUUGUUAAUUUUUAGACCUCUUGUUGACAAAUAUUUAUUUUGUGAGGAGCAACURUUUUUGGGAAACCAAAAGUAGAAUUGAACAAAYUUURAACUUUUUUCAAACUGGAACCCAAUUCUUAGGUAUUUGAAUUUGAACAAAGAAACAGUAAAGUAAAAUGAUAAGAAAAUUUAUCGAGGCCGGAUGUUGCUUAGUUACUGAACAAGCAYUUAACUAAAUGUAAAUGUAUUCAUUGAAGAUAAUACGAAAAACUUGUCGAAAAUGUUUCAUAGUAGGUAUCGUACUUAAUAUUUAAGGAUUUUUUWAAAAUUUUCAUUCUCAGGCUUUCAUUCAUUCGGCUGGCUAAUCUGGUUCAAAACUUCUCCUCAUUUUAGUUUCUUUCAUUGUUCCUAUCUAAGCAUAGUCUGGUUGGAUUUAGACUAUAAAAUUAUCACUUUACUUAAGAGAAACAAUUUUGAAGGAAUGAACAAUAAGCAAUCAGAAACAAAAUACUCUAUUACAUUUUUUAAUUCUCUCAACGAUUCAUUCAUUUUGUUCGCUUUUUAAAUAACGGAAAACCCUGAAUAUUUGUUUCGAAGGAUACGGAAAAACUGGGCAAAAGGCAAAAUAAAAACGGACAAAUUUGUAAAUGCAUUGAUUAAAGAGGGGAAGGGGGUCUGUAGACACUGAAUAGAGUUUUGAUAUAAUAAAACAGUCUACUGUUUGGCAAUUAUGAAUAACAUCAAAAGUGAAAUAAAAUAACAAAAUCUAAUUGUAAGAUUGUUAAUGUUAAAAUAAUAUCUGGCAACUUUAAGUUCAAGAAAUUAUUGCAGCAAUUUCUUUCCGAAGAGGCAUAUCUGGAAAACCUAACCGGAAGACUUUGUUUGGGUCGCACCAAUUCUGCUGUAAUUUCUUGUAUUUGAUUAUAUGAUUGUAACAA